rnacentral:rRNA from 1 species
UACGUAGGGGGCAAGCGUUGUCCGGAAUCAUUGGGCGUAAAGAGCGUGUAGGCGGCCCGAUAAGUCCGCUGUGAAAGUCCAGGGCUCAACCCUGGGAUGCCGGUGGAUACUGUCGGGCUCGAGUCCGGAAGAGGCGAGUGGAAUUCCUGGUGUAGCGGUGAAAUGCGCAGAUAUCAGGAGGAACACCAAUGGCGAAGGCAGCUCGCUGGAACGGUACUGACGCUGAGGCGCGAAAGCGUGGGGAGCGAACAGG